GUGCAUGGCGCUGCAGUACACACUAAUCAACCAUGACGAUGUGUGUGAGUGUAAGCGUGCCUGGCGCUGCAGUACACGCUAAUCAACCAUGACGCUGCCAUCGUAAGGGAUGGCUGAGAGUUUGUCUUUAUGAACGUGGGACAGUAAGUGGGGCACGGAGCGGUCUUGACUCCUGCGUCGUCAUUCCCUGAGGUCCACAGGACAACCAGUUGGGGACCUGGGGCCCCAUCCUGAUGCCCUGGGGAGAGGUGCUAGGCCCCUUUUGGGUCUAUGGGCUACUUUUGGGCCAGUGGAGCUGGGUAAAGACCAUCUCAAACCCUGUGCCAGGGGAGGUCAGACUCCAAGAGCGCCACCUUUGGGCUUCCAGCUGUGUAGGCUGGACCAAGAAGGCUCAGAGAAUUAGGGGGUUCGUAUUUGAUCCUUUUCCUUCCAAGACUGGGAUUACCAGAUAAAACACAGGGCAUCCAAAUGGCGAUGACUUCUACCAAGUAUACUGCUUGUAAACAUUUUGUUAACAAGGCACGUCCUGCACAGCCCUAGAUCCCUUAAACCUUGAUUUUAUACAACACAUGUUUUUAUGAGCUCAAGGUUGGGGCAAUGUAUACUCUAGAUGAGGACCAUGAUUGGGAUGUAUUUGUACAAGUUGGGAAAAUUCUCCUAAAACCCACUGGAUAGAACUUCCAAUGGUAAAGUUCCGGGGUCAGGGUUUUGAGGAUGGGGAUGGUGUGGCUUGUUGGAGGUUAGACUGGGUCAGCUCAGUGCAGAUGUCACGGGCCUGGCCUCACUGAGGGGUGGGUUGUUCUCCUAAUGUGUGGUACAAAGUAGCAGAUGGGGCAUGAUGGGAAGUGUCUAAGCUCUGCUCACAGAUGUAACCGUGAAAACAGGCCCAGUGCACAGUCUAAUGUGGAUUGCCUCUUUGACAGUGCCCUUGCUAAUACCUGAAGCUUGCAUUCAGCACCUCUCACAGUCAAUGGGACAGUGCCCUUGCUAAUACCUGAAGCUUGCAUUCAGCACCUCUCACAGUCAAUGGGUGCCACACUGCUGAAAAGUGGCUCAGGCUUCCUGUCAUCCCUUGCAAGGGUAAACCUGGCAGAGAUGCUGGCUGGGGGUCUUAUGCCAGGUGUAGAGUUCAUAGCCAGGCUGGACAGGUGGAAUGAUUGCCCUUAGCAGAGGGAAGCAAGAUAUGUCCGUGGAGAGUGGGAUCCUUUGUUGCAGGCGAAAGAAAACCUCUGUCUGUCGUAAGUAAAAGGGGGAUUUGUUGGCAGCGUCCCAGAGUGCAUAGAAUCAAAGCAAUGCCAGGACAGCAGGCUUGGAAAAUAGGCAGGAGGGCCCCCAGGAGCUCUGAGGUCCAGACAGUGGGAUCAGGCUGGCUGGGACACUGUCCCUCUUGCUGGUCAGUCACUAUUGGAUGCUGCCACAGCCAAGGGGCAUCACGUGGCCUGCACACACAUUCACAUAGGUUCUCGCUGCCUUUUUGUCUCACUGGACUUUUUGCUCCAGAGCCAAAGUCCUGAGUAGGAACAUUUGAUAGGCUGAGCUUAGCCCUUGUACUCCCAUGAGCCCACAGCCAGGUGCCAGGGGACGGGAAGAAGGGAUGUCUGUGUCCUUGGAGUUCUCUUAGCAGCAGUGAGGCCAAUCGUGACUCCCACUGUGAGGAGUUCCCUAAACAUGGCACGGGGGCUCGACACCCGAUGGCCAAAUAAGUGACAAAUGCCCCCGGCAUGUGAUAAUCAAAGUAGCGAGUGUGAAUCCUUGUGGGAGAGGGAAGCCAAUUGCUUUUGUUUUGUUUUGUUUUGUUUUGUUUUGUUUUGUUUUGUUUUCUGAGACUGAGUCUCACUCUGUCAUCCAAGCUGGAGUGCAGUGGUGCGAUCUUGGCUCACCACAACCUCCGCCUCCCAGGUUCAAGCCAUUCUCCUGCCUCAACCUUCUGAGUAGCUGGGAUUACAGGCCCGCACCACCAUACCUGGCUAAUUUUUGUAUUUUUAGUAGAGAUGGAGUUUCAGGUUUCAGCAUCUUGGCCAGGCUAGUCUUGAACUCUUGACCUCAUGAUCCACCCACCUCAGCCUCCCAAAGUGCUGGGAUUACAGGCGUUGAGUCAUUGCGUCCGGCUGGGAAGCCAGUUUUCUUUUUCUUUUUCUUUUUCUUUCUCUUUUUCUUUUCUUUUCUUUUAUUUUUCUUGAGACAGAUUCUCGCUCUGUCGUCCAGGCUGGAGUGCAAUGGCACGAUCUCGGCUCACUGCAACCUCCACCUCCCGGAUUCAAGCAAUUCUCCUGCCUCAACCUCCCUAGUAGCUGGGUUUUAUAGUACAGGGAUUGUGUAUAGUCUCACUGCUACCUCCUCCUUCUACUCCCCCAGGUCUUGGUUUGGACUUUGAUGAUAGCAUUUACUGAGACGGGCCUGGAGCCUGUCGAACAGCCCGCUGCAGCAGGGCAGGGACCACCUUUGUUCAUCUCAGUAUCCCCUGAACUAGCAGAGUGUCUGGCCUGCAGUGGGAUCGCAGAGAAUGUGGAAUUGACCUAAAUUUAAAUUUCAAGUUCUGGACACAAGCCUCAAUUAUUCCUCUUAUAUGUUAUAACUUACAUGCUAUUAUUUUUUUAAAAAAUUAAUAUGGUUUACUUUUUAUUAUAAAAGUAAAACUUGGCCAGGCUCAGUGGCUCACGCCUGUAAUCCCAGCACUUUGGGAGGCCGAGGCCGGUGGAUCACGAGGUCAGGAGUUUGAGACUAGCCUGGCCAACAUGGUGAAACCCCGUCUCUACUAAAAACACGAAAAUUAGCUGGGUGUGGUGGCAGGUGCCUGUAAUCCCAGCUACCCAGGAGGCUGAGACGGGAGAAUCACUUGAACCCGGGAGGCAGAGGUUGCAGUGACCCAAGAUCCUACCACUGCACCCCAGCCUGGGCAAAAGGGCAAGACUCUGUCUCAUAAAUAAAUAAAUUUAAAAUAAAAGUAAAACUUGUUUAUGAUUUCAAAAUUUUGAAAUAUUCCAAAGACCAAGCAAAGUAAGAAGUGGGAAGAGGAGAAAGAAAAA
rnacentral:lncRNA from 1 species